UACGUAGGGUGCGAGCGUUAAUCGGAAUUACUGGGCGUAAAGCGUGCGCAGGCGGUUCGUUGUGUCGGCGGUGAAAGCCCCGGGCUUAACCUGGGAACGGCCGUUGAAACUGGCGAACUGGAGUGUGGCAGAGGGGGGUGGAAUUCCGCGUGUAGCAGUGAAAUGCGUAGAUAUGCGGAGGAACACCAAUGGCGAAGGCAAUCUCCUGGACCUGCACUGACGCUCAUGCACGAAAGCGUGGGGAGCAACAGG
rnacentral:rRNA from 1 species